UCGAUGACUACUGCUUCAAGCUUUUUUGCUCAUUUAUUCGACUUAUCUACUACACUUUUUUCUUUUUGCAUUUUUUCAUGUUUUGUUCUUUUUUCUUUGAGACUCGAUUUUCAAUUGUCUCCUUCCUUUUUUAGAUUUUUUUUAAUGAUAAAAACUAUACAUAAAACUACUAAGGGAGACUUGAUAAUCCUGCAAUUACACAACUUAGCAACCCUAGACUACUAGAUUCGACUGAGUUACAUGUCAG
rnacentral:lncRNA from 1 species